rnacentral:rRNA from 1 species
AUUGAACGCUGGCGGAAUGCUUUACACAUGCAAGUCGAGCGGCAGCACGGGGGUAACCCUGGUGGCGAGCGGCGAACGGGUGAGUAAUACAUCGGAACAUGCCCAGUCGUGGGGGAUAACACUUCGAAAGAAGUGCUAAUACCGCAUACGUCCUGAGGGAGAAAGCGGGGGAUCGCAAGACCUCGCGCGAUUGGAGUGGCCGAUGUCAGAUUAGCUAGUUGGUGGGGUAAAGGCCUACCAAGGCAACGAUCUGUAGCUGGUCUGAGAGGAUGAUCAGCCACACUGGGACUGAGACACGGCCCAGACUCCUACGGGAGGCGGCAGUGGGGAAUUUUGGACAAUGGGGGCAACCCUGAUCCAGCCAUUCCGCGUGAGUGAAGAAGGCCUUCGGGUUGUAAAGCUCUUUCGGCAGGAACGAAACGGUGAGCUCUAACAUAGCUUGCUAAUGACGGUACCUGAAGAAGAAGCACCGGCUAACUACGUG